UACGAAGGGGGCUAGCGUUGUUCGGAUUUACUGGGCGUAAAGCGCACGUAGGCGGAUCGUUAAGUCGGGGGUGAAAUCCUGGAGCUCAACUCCAGAACUGCCUUCGAUACUGGCGAUCUUGAGUCCGAAGAGGUGAGUGGAACUCCUAGUGUAGAGGUGGAAUUCGUAGAUAUUAGGAAGAACACCAGUGGCGAAGGCGGCUCACUGGUCCGGUACUGACGCUGAGGUGCGAAAGCGUGGGGAGCAAACAGG
rnacentral:rRNA from 1 species